ACUUUUUACACAUUCUGAAUUGUUAUGUUAAUUUGAUGUCAAAUAAUUUCCAGUUGUUCCCUAAGUGCCUUAAUUUCUUAUGAACAAAGUCUAUCUACUUUUGAACCCCCCCAUGUUUUUUAUAUCUGAUUAGUGAUAUUUUGCAGUUUCAAAGGCUGAUAUACAAUGACAUUGAACUACGUAUGUUUGUAUCUGAAUAUUCUGAUGAAAUAGAUUUCAGUCUAGGAAAGCUUAUGCUACCAACUUCUUUGGAUCGCUUUAGACAUCUGUAAUAUAUUAGUAAAUUAUUAAGUGCAUAGUCCAUGACCUUCGACAUAAGAACUCACAAGGUAGCUAACGGUGAGAUGUAAGCAAUAUUGCUAAUCUGUAAAACCAAUAAGCUUCCUCUCCCAGAAUCAGCUAUAUAUACAUGAACAGCUAAUAGAUAUUUCUAGUGUUCAAGGAGACUUUAAAAAAAAAGAUACAGCCUCAAAAAUGUUUCUUAUAUAGCAUUCAAGGCCACUUCCUCAUGAAAGAGAUGUUUGUUAUUCUUGGGCAGUCUCUUGGCCACUGUCAAGGAGCCAAAAAGAGAGAGCAAAACACAAAGGACAAGCUGAUUUGUGGAAGAUCAAAUGCUCUAAACAAUUUGUCGAUAUGAUAGUGAAUUUGGUUGGUGAUUAACGAGCAACACUGUAUCUUUCCAUUGUUGCAUUGCAUCUAGCUUGUUCUUGAAGCAUCUCUUUUCAUUAAGGGGGGGCACCUAUUAAUGGCUCCAGUAUUGUUGCAGCUGCAGCAUUAUUUUUGGUGAGAUAGUAUCCUUCUACAGCAGUCCCGGAAUUGCUGCAGUCUUGCAUAGAGAGUGAAUGUGAUCCUCCUAGUGUGACAAACAAGCAAAAUGGUGGGAGGUUCAUACAAAAUUGUGUAGUUGCAAGAUAGGUAACAAUCUUGUCAGGGAGAAAACAAGAAGAGCUAGCAAGGAUGCAAGGAAGACUCACUGCAGGAUCAAGAACCAACAAAGCAGCAGCAUUACGAGAUGAUGAAGAACUCCUUCACUUGUCCCUGUGGAGUCCACGACAUACGAGUGUGGAGAAGACCACAGACCACUUACUACAAUGCAGCCUGAGCCCUAUCAUAUGCACAAUGGAGGACCUUCUCACCGUGACACCAGAGGCACUCCAAGUGGCCAGCUUCUGGUAAAAGCAAAUGUAAUAUAAUGUCAAGUUUUUAAGUUUGUGUGUGUGUGUGUGUUUUUUUUUU